rfam:Lachnospiraceae bacterium 3_1_57FAA_CT1 genomic scaffold acsNT-supercont1.1, whole genome shotgun sequence.
CAAAUCCUGUCUGUUUAAGGUCUAACCAACCAGCAGUAGCGAGUCUUGCGUGGUAAUCAGUAAUGAUUGUUGCGAAGCGUAGACAGCAAGCAAGUAGGGUUGCAAUGCGAUUGAGCCUCGAAAAGUUGAAUUUCAGAGGGCUGACGUCUUAACUGGUUCGGAAAGCAACAUCGGCUAACUCGCUAUGGUGAGAGUUCGUCGGCACUGCGGGGUCAAAGGGCC